rnacentral:rRNA from 1 species
UACGUAGGGGGCAAGCGUUAUCCGGAUUCACUGGGUGUAAAGGGAGCGUUGACGGCGACGCAAGUCUGGAGUGAAAGCCCGGGGCCCAACCCCGGGACUGCUCUGGAAACUGCGUCGCUGGAGUACGGGAGGGGCAGGCGGAAUUCCUGGUGUAGCGGUGAAAUGCGUAGAUAUCAGGAGGAACACCGGCGGCGAAGGCGGCCUGCUGGACCGUGACUGACGUUGAGGCUCGAGAGCGUGGGGAGCAAACAGG